UACAGAGGGUGCGAGCGUUGUUCGGAAUUAUUGGGCGUAAAGCGCUUGUAGGCGGCACGUCAAGUCGCGUGUGAAAUCCCCCAGGCUUAACCUGGGAAGUGCGCGCGAAACUGACGAGCUUGAGUGCCGGAGAGGGUCGCGGAAUUCCCGGUGUAGAGGUGAAAUUCGUAGAUAUCGGGAGGAACACCAGUGGCGAAGGCGGCGACCUGGACGGACACUGACGCUGAGACGCGAAAGCUAGGGGAGCAAACAGG
rnacentral:rRNA from 1 species